GAUGGAGGUUAUGUGGUUAUAAAAUAAUAUGGCGGAUGGCAUAUUACGUGGCAUUGUGUUGUAUCACAAACACGUGAUUCGUAAAACCUAAUAAUAUCCCAAUAUGUAUAUUGAAUUUGGAAACAGAAACAAUAUUAUUCUCUCCAAAUGCAAAUAAUCUUUUUGCUUAUAUCAGGUGUACACAAUUAAGCUCUCAAAUCAUAAAGCUUAGUACAUACUUGUAGCUUCAUCAAAAUACAUUUUGGUUCUUACACGUGGUGCACACAAUACAGCACUCCAGAUACCUAUUAAAAAUGGAAGUUAAAGAAGGAAAGCUAUCCAGUAUACAGGUCCACUUCAAUUCAAGUUACAGUCACACUUUUACAGAUUAAAAUAAUAAUGUCAUAACUACACAGUAUAGGGAGAUAAAGGUAUAAAAUUGUUAUUAAUUGAUUAAAAAUGUAAUAAAAUAAAAUUAUAAUGUCAGAUGAUAAGGUCAAGUUUUCAAAUUCCAUUUAUA